UACGUAGGGUGCGAGCGUUAAUCGGAAUUACUGGGCGUAAAGCGUGCGCAGGCGGCGCGUUAAGACAGGUGUGAAAGCCCCGAGCUUAACUUGGGAAUUGCGCUUGUGACUGGCGUGCUGGAGUGUGGCAGAGGGAGGUGGAAUUCCACGUGUAGCAGUGAAAUGCGUAGAGAUGUGGAGGAACGCCGAUGGCGAAGGCAGCCCCCUGGGUCAAGAUUGACGCUCAUGCACGAAAGCGUGGGGAGCAAACAGG
rnacentral:rRNA from 1 species